GGAGCUUUGCUGAAACUGCACAAAAAAUCGAGCCGGGGGGUUCCCUGGUCCCCGGCGAUGGGGCGGGGAGCGCUGCGCCGGGGGAGGGGGCGGGCGCGGCGGCGCGGGCCCCGCCGAGGGGGGACACCUGGCUGAGGCACAGCUGCCGCCGUGCCUUUCCGCGCGAGCCCAGAGCUCCGAUCCCUGCGCGGGCUCGAGAGCUCGCCCCGAACGGGGGUCUUCCUCCUCCGCCGUUGACAGGUUUUGACCUGUAGCAGAGAACCAAUUCUGGAGAACAGCCUCACUUCUUUGAUUGAAUACUUACAUAAUGCAUUGGAACAUGACAUGAGAUUAAGGUUUAAUAAUGAUAGAAUGAAGACCACAAUAAAAGAGACCUCUACUUAGCUCAGCAAUUCUUACCUUGUGUAAAUUUUGAUACCACCAUUGCCGCCUUCCCCUCAAAAAAGGUGAGAACUGACUAAACUACUGGUACUUAGACCAUGUGGAGAAGGAACUGAAAAUGGAAACAGAAACACGUCUGUACAGAGCAGAGUGUCAGAUAAUAGCUCAUUUUAGUAGAGGGCAAUAAAUGCCACAUGAGAUGAUCACCUCAGCAGAAAACUGGGAUGUGGAGACGCUGGUAGCGGGGCCAGGAAGGCUCCGGACGGAGCAGGUUUUCUGGACCACAGACACACUGCCCCGGCGCCCUCCGCAGGCCGCUCCUCCCCAGGCCCAUGACAGUGCCCCGCUGGUUUCUGCCGCGCUGCCGGACUGGAGCUCAGACGGCCUUCGCCAGCCCCCCCAACCCACGCAGAUCCCUGCUGACCUGGGCAACUCCCCACCCUCGCUGAAGGUUCGAGGACCACCCCGCUUUCCCGAGAGGAGCCGGGCGGCGGGUACUUAUCUCCGACCUCCGGCUAGUGGGAAAGGCCGCGCGACCGCCCGUCCUCCAACUACAGGGACCGCACGAACAGCGACUGGGAAACUGCCACUAGAAAAAGAUGACUGUCCAACUAAAACCUGCAUACACAGCUACAUCCUUCCCUGGAAGAGCACAGUGGAACUAGAUCCUAGUACAGAUAGCACAGGGAUUGUCAACAUUCUUGUCACACUGAAAUUUCCUUCUACUGAUCUCCAAAAACAGAUGCCCUGCCCAGAAGCAACACGGCUAAUGGGUGCCACCGUGGAGACCCAGGCAACCUGAGAGUAGUCCUGACAGCCAGACCUCCAGGGUGGAAAUGGGAAGGUCUACAGAGAAAGGAACAGAUGUUGUUAUUGUAAAGAAUGGAAGAAGAAUAUGUGGAACAGGAGGUUGUUUAGCCAGCGCACCUUUACAUCAAAACAAAAGCUAUUUUGAAUUCAAAAUCCAGUCCACAGGAAUCUGGGGUAUUGGUGUUGCAACUCAGAAGGUUAACUUGAAUCAGAUUCCUCUUGGCCGAGAUAUGCACAGUCUGGUGAUGAGAAAUGAUGGAGCCCUUUACCACAACAAUGAAGAGAAAAAUAGGCUGCCAGCAAACAGUCUUCCGCAGGAAGGAGAUGUGGUGGGUAUUACUUAUGACCAUGUCGAAUUAAAUGUAUACUUGAAUGGAAAAAACAUGCAUUGUCCAGCAUCAGGUAUACGAGGGACAGUGUAUCCAGUUGUUUAUGCCUGUAGAAAGAAAAAGACUGCAUAACACUGAAGAAGUGUGGUUACAAAGUUACGACUUCCUGGCUGGGCGCAGUAGCUCACGCCUGUAAUCCCAGCACUUUGGGAGGCUGAGGCAGGCGGAUCACGAG
rnacentral:lncRNA from 1 species